rnacentral:lncRNA from 1 species
GUUAACGUUCAUUCCCCUUUCAAAACUUUUCACAAGCGUAGCAAUAUAAUGAAAUUGAUUGUUGUUUUAUUCAAGAUAGACUUGUUCAAGGCUUCAUCAAAUGUCUUCAUAUUCAAUCUCACCAUCAGCUCAUUGAUAUCUUCAUCAAACAUUUCUCAAUUAGUUUGUUAUUUCCUUUGUUGUCUAAGAUUAGCAUUGAAAAUAGUUACAUAUCAUCUGGAGGGGUGCUCUUAAGGAUCUUACAAGUGAGGGUAAACAUGUGUGGG